rnacentral:rRNA from 1 species
GUAGGGAAUAUUGGGCAAUGGUCGGAAGACUGACCCAGCCAUGCCGCGUGCAGGAAGACGGCCCUCUGGGUUGUAAACUGCUUUUAUCUGGGAAGAAAAAGACCAUGCGUGGCAAAUUGCCGGUACCAGAUGAAUAAGCACCGGCUAACUCCGUGCCAGCAGCCGCGGUAAUACGGAGGGUGCGAGCGUUGUCCGGAUUUAUUGGGUUUAAAGGGUGCGUAGGCGGCUGAUUAAGUCAGCGGUGAAAGACUUCGGCUUAACCGGAGCAGUGCCGUUGAUACUGGUUGGCUUGAGUGUCGGAGGGGUACAUGGAAUUGAUGGUGUAGCGGUGAAAUGCAUAGAUACCAUCAGGAACACCGAUAGCGAAGGCAUUGUACUGGCCGACAACUGACGCUGAUGCACGAAAGUGUGGGGAUCGAACAGGAUUAGAUACCCCGGUAGUCC